AUUUCAGGCUCUUUUGUGUCGAGCGGAGGAGCAACUCUGUGUCCAGCUUAGAGGACUGGAAGAAGCUGCAACCUUCCGUUUGCUGGAGGGUGGAGGAUGGAUGGAGCCUGGAGCCUAGGUCAUUACCUUGCUGCGGUUGGUGGUGGCGAUACAGCAGUAGGAGAGUGGUCAGCAGCAGGAGGACUAGAAGGAAGAGGCACUGCCACAUGCUGGAGGCUGGAACCUGUGCCACCAUGGCUCGCCUCGCUGUGGUUGGUGGUGACGUCGGAGACUGCAGCUCAGCCACGGUGGUAGACAUGUGAUGGGGUAGCUGCUCCAAGCCAGGCUGAAGGAGGAGAAGGAGUCGCCGCCUGUGGUAAGGUCGAGCAGAUGACGUGGCUCUGCAGCUUGCCUCAUGCAGUUGGUGUUGGAGAUGGAGACCACAGCUCGACUGGAGCGGUGGUUUCCUAGAAACAUGAUUGUUUAUUGGCGUUGAUCUCAGUCUGGUGAGGACUUCUUUACUGAUAAUGUCAAGUUCAGGUUACCCUCCCAACCAAGGAGCAUUCAGCACAGAACAAAGUCGUUAUCCUCCUCAUUCUGUAAAGUAUACGUUUCCCAGCACCUGCCACCAGCAGAUGGACUCUCGCUCUGUCACCCGUGCUGGAGUGCAAUAGUGCAAUAUCAGCUCACUGCAACCUCUCCCUCCUGGGUUCAAGCCGUUCUCCUGCCUCAGCCUCCCGAGAUCCAACAUUUGGAGGCAAACAUGAAGCUCCAUCCUCUCCAAUUUCGAGGCAACCAUGUGGAGAUGAUCAAAAUGCUUCACCUUCAAAACUUUCAAAGGAAGAGUUAAUACAGAGUAUGGAUCGUAUAAAUCGAGAAAUUGCAAAAGUAGAACAGCAGAUCCUUAAACUGAAAAAGAAACAAGUAAAAGUCUUUGCUUAUAAUAUCCUAAGAAUGUGUGUUUUUCUCCCUACAGAAGAUAUUUUUGAGUUUUCCAUAUUUUGAAACUGUACAUAAAAGGAAUCAUGCCUUAUAUAUUCUGACUUGCUGUUUUUUGCUGCUAUUGUGGUUUUCUUUCAUUCAUUCAUUUUCCUUGCUGCACUGUCUGAUCAUAUGAUUGUAGAGAGUGAAAUUUGUUUGUCCAUUCUGUUUUUGAUUUUUUUUUCUAUUCCAUACAAUGGUGCUGGUUUUUGGUUCACGUGUAGAGAUUUUCUAGGGCAUGUGCCCAGGAAUGGCAGUGCUUGGCCCAAGAUUAUGCACAGUGAACUAUUUAAUAGAUGAUACUAAAUUUGCUAAGAAGUAACACCAUUUUACAUUCCCACUGGCAACUUACAUGGGUACUGGUUUGUGCACAUUCUUGCCUUUACUUGAUAUCAUUUUUUCAUUUGGAUAUGAAAUAGUCUUCUCUGUGGUUUGGAAGGAGGCUGAACUUAUUUUCAUUUGUUUAUGGGUUAUUUGGGUUCCUUAUGUGCAUUGUUCAUGUCUUUUGUCUGUAGUCUCCUAUUUUGUCAUUGAAAUUUUUAGGAUUCCCUGAAGUCCCUUGUCAGGUAUGUGUAUAGAAGAUUUGCCUAGUUUGUGGCCUGUCACUUCACUUUUAGCCCAGUAUCCACUCUAAGUGUACACUAAGUGCAUUUUUUUUUUCCACAUUUCGAGUCUCACUCUGUCACCCAGGCUGGAGUGCAGUGGUGCGAUCUUGGCUCACUGCAACCUCUGCCUCCCAGGUUCAAGUGAUUCUCCUGCAACAGCCUCCUGAGUAGCUGGGAAUAUAGGUGCUAUAAGUGCUUUUAAUGUAUUCAUAAAGUUGUACAGCUAUCACCACUCUCUAACUCUAGAACAUUUUUAUCGUUUCAAAAAGAAAUUCCAUACUUACUAGCAGUUACUCCCCAUUUCCCCCUUUCCCCAGCCCCUGGCAACCACUAGACUAUUCUCUGUCUCUAUGGACUAGCAUAUGCCAAAUAUCAGAAAAAAGAGAUUCAUAUGUGACCUUUUGUGUUUGGCUUCAUUUAUGUAGCAUGUUGUCCUGAUUCAUCCAUGUUGUAUCUUGUCUCAGCACUUCAUUACUUUAUAUGCCUGAAUCCCAUUGUGUGAGUAUACUAUGUUUUGUUUAUCCAUUCAUUAGUUGAUGGAUAUUUGAGUUGUGUUCAUUUUUUGACUAUGAUUAAUAGUGAUGAGAUUCAUGUACUCGUUUUUGUGUGGAUGUAUUUUUACAAUUUUCUUUAUAUAUCUAGGAGUGGGCAUAUGGUAAAUCUAUGUUUAAAUUUUUGAAAAACUUCAAAACUGUUUUCCAAAGUCUCUGUACCAUUUUAUAUUCUUACCAGCAGUGUAUGGAGGUUCCAUUUUUUCCUAUCUCCUUGCCAACAUCUGUUAUUUUCCUUUUUUUAAAAAAAAAAUAGCUAUUCUUGUAGAUGUGAAGUGGUAUCUAGUUGUAGUUUUCAUUUGCAUAUCCUUAAUGACUAAUGAUGUUGAGCAUCUUUUCAUGUGCUGAUUGGCCAUUUGUAUAUCUUUUUAGAGAAAUGUUCAUUUAGAUUGUUUGCUCAUUUAAUUGGGUUGUCUUUUUGUUAUUCUAAGAAUUAUUUAUAUAUUCUGGACGUUAGUUCUUCAUCAGAUGUAUGACUUAAUAGAUAUUUUCUCUCAUUCUGUGGGUUCUUUUCACUUUCCUGAUGGUAUCCUUUGAUGUACAAAAGUUUUGAAUUUUGUUGAAGUCCAGUUUGUUUUUUCCUUUUGUCACUCUUGCAUUUGGUGUUGUAUCUAAGACCCAUUGCCUAAUUCAGGGUCACAGAUUCAUACCUAUGUUUUCUUCUACAAAUUUUAUAGUUUUACCCCUUAUAUUUGGGUCUUUGAUCCUGAUAGUGUUUUUCUGGUGAACAGAAUUUGUCUAGGUUUUAUAUGAAAACCCACUGGGGUUAUUAAGGUAGUUUUACUGUAUUAUUUGUAGAAGUUUUAUAGUUUUGCUUCUCAUCUUAUUCUUAAUCCACUGGAAACUACAUAUUGUAUAGUCAGUGUUCAUUUAUAUUUACUCAGAUAUUUGUCUUCUUAAGUGCUCACCAUUUCUUCUCACAACUCAAGUCUUCCAUCUAGGGGAACACCCUUCUACUGAAGAACAUCUCUUAGAAUUUCCUUUAGUGAAGGUCUCUUAGUUAGCAAAUUCAGUAUUUGUUUGGUUUUUAUGACUUAAAUAUUGUCUUAUAUUUGGCCUGUUUAUUAAAAGAUAUAUUAAUUUCAUAUGUGAUUAUUUUUUCUUAGUACAUUGUCUUCUUGCUUCCAUUUUUAAGACAUUAACUCUUGGUCUAAGUCCGUAUUCUUUCAUGGAUAAACUGAAUUUUCUCUCUGCUUAUUUUCAAUAUAUUCUUUUCUUCAGGGUUCCGUUAUUUUUAUGAUGAUACAUUUAGGUGUUUUUUUUCACUUUUUAAAUCUGUCCAACUUGAGCUUCCUGAAUAUGAAGGGUGGAGUUUUUCAUCACUUUGGGAAAAUUCCAAGCCAUUAUCUUUUUUACAAAACCUUUCUAAAGGUUUAUUGUUCUACUUAUGAAAUCCUGUUAGUCGUAAUAUCACUCUUGUCUUCCAUGUCUCUUGUUUCUUUCUUAUUUUUUUACUUCUUUGGGCUUCAUUCUAAGCAAUUUCUUCAGCCUGUCUUCCAGUUUGCAUCUUCCUUUUCAAUUAUAUGUAAUCUGCUGUCAAAUCUGUCUUCAAUUUCAACAAUUAUGUUUUUAUUUCUGGAAUUUCUGUUUGGCUCCUUCUCAAAUCUGCCUGGUCAUUUUUUAAAAUGUUUUUUUGCUUUCAUUGAGUUGUAUUAAAUUUUUAUUAUAUACCCAACAAUUCUAAUUAAGUCUUUAUUGGUUUGAUUUUGCUGAGUCUCUUUUCUUUUUUCUUUUGUCUUUAUUUUCUUUACUUGUACAAUGGUAAUAAUCUAGUAAUAACACCAACUAAAUCACAUGAUCGUUUUAUGAAUUGAGAUAAUGAAUAUAUUGCAUAAUAUAUGGUACAUAGUAAAUGUACAUGCAAUCCAUUAUAAUAAUUAGAAAUAAUGAAAUAUAAUGUAUGAUUAUUAGGAAGUGUAGCAGAGCCACAAAUUUUAUUGAGCGAUAUAAAAGACAACUAGAGAAAACAAAUAUGCCAUAGCUGGAUGGAAACAGUAAUAAUAAUGUUGUGUGUUCAUCUUGGACUAAAUCAUGUCUCAUACAAUUUCAAUAAAAUUCCAAUUAAAUUUAUUUCUAAAACAUGGCAAAUACAUUGUAAAGUUAAUGUAAAAGAACAAAGAGGGCCAGGCUCUGUGGCUCAACCUGUAAUCCCAGCACUUUGGGAGGCUGAGGUGGGCAUAUCACAAGGUCAGGAGAUUGAGACCAUCCUGGCUAACACGGUGAAACCCCAUCUUUACCAUAAUACAAAAAAUUAGCUGGGCAUGGUUGCAGGCGCCUGUAGUCCCAGCUACUCAGGAGUGUGAGGCAGGAGAAUGGCGUGAACCCAGAAGGAGGAGCUUGUGGUGAGUGGAGAUCACGCCACUGCACUACAGCUUGGGCGACAGAGCGAGAUUCCAUCUCAAAAAUAAAAUAAAAUAUAAAAAGAAAAA